ensembl:snRNA U2 U2 spliceosomal RNA
AUCAGUUCUCGGCCUUUUGGCUAAGAUCAAGUGUAGUAUUUGUUCUUAUCAGUUUAAAAUAGUAGCCUUACAAGUUAAAAGACCUUCAAAUUACCCUAGAUGCUGAAUUCAGGGUUUGUAUUUAUUUUUUUAAGACUUCCAAUUGCUAGCUUAAACAUUUAAAUUUUUCAGGGUAGGGGCGCCUGG